rnacentral:rRNA from 1 species
ACCCGAAACCCGGUGAUCUAGCCAUGGGCAGGUUGAAGGUUGGGUAACACUAACUGGAGGACCGAACCGACUAAUGUUGAAAAAUUAGCGGAUGACUUGUGGCUGGGGGUGAAAGGCCAAUCAAACCGGGAGAUAGCUGGUUCUCCCCGAAAGCUAUUUAGGUAGCGCCUCGUGAAUUCAUCUCCGGGGGUAGAGCACUGUUUCGGCAAGGGGGUCAUCCCGACUUACCAACCCGAUGCAAACUGCGAAUACCGGAGAAUGUUAUCACGGGAGACACACGGCGGGUGCUAACGUCCGUCGUGAAGAGGGAAACAACCCAGACCGCCAGCUAAGGUCCCAAAGUCAUGGUUAAGUGGGAAACGAUGUGGGAAGGCCCAGACAGCCAGGAUGUUGGCUUAGAAGCAGCCAUCAUUUAAAGAAAGCGUAAUAGCUCACUGGUCGAGUCGGCCUGCGCGGAAGAUGUAACGGGGCUAAACCAUGCACCGAAGCUGCGGCAGCGACGCUUAUGCGUUGUUGGGUAGGGGAGCGUUCUGUAAGCCUGUGAAGGUGUGCUGUGAGGCAUGCUGGAGGUAUCAGAAGUGCGAAUGCUGACAUAAGUAACGAUAAAGCGGGUGAAAAGCCCGCUCGCCGGAAGACCAAGGGUUCCUGUCCAACGUUAAUCGGGGCAGGGUGAGUCGACCCCUAAGGCGAGGCCGAAAGGCGUAGUCGAUGGGAAACAGGUUAAUAUUCCUGUACUUGGUGUUACUGCGAAGGGGGGACGGAGAAGGCUAUGUUGGCCGGGCGACGGUUGUCCCGGUUUAAGCGUGUAGGCUGGUUUUCCAGGCAAAUCCGGAAAAUCAAGGCUGAGGCGUGAUGACGAGGCACUACGGUGCUGAAGCAACAAAUGCCCUGCUUCCAGGAAAAGCCUCUAAGCAUCAGGUAACAUCAAAUCGUACCCCAAACCGACACAGGUGGUCAGGUAGAGAAUACCAAGGCGCUUGAGAGAACUCGGGUGAAGGAACUAGGCAAAAUGGUGCCGUAACUUCGGGAGAAGGCACGCUGAUAUGUAGGUGAAGUCCCUCGCGGAUGGAGCUGAAAUCAGUCGAAGAUACCAGCUGGCUGCAACUGUUUAUUAAAAACACAGCACUGUGCAAACACGAAAGUGGACGUAUACGGUGUGACGCCUGCCCGGUGCCGGAAGGUUAAUUGAUGGGGUCAGCGCAAGCGAAGCUCUUGAUCGAAGCCCCGGUAAACGGCGGCCGUAACUAUAACGGUCCUAAGGUAGCGAAAUUCCUUGUCGGGUAAGUUCCGACCUGCACGAAUGGCGUAAUGAUGGCUAGGCUGUCUCCACCCGAGACUCAGUGAAAUUGAACUCGCUGUGAAGAUGCAGUGUACCCGCGGCAAGACGGAAAGACCCCGUGAACCUUUACUAUAGCUUGACACUGAACAUUGAGCCUUGAUGUGUAGGAUAGGUGGGAGGCUUUGAAGUGUGGACGCCAGUCUGCAUGGAGCCGACCUUGAAAUACCACCCUUUAAUGUUUGAUGUUCUAACGUUGACCCGUAAUCCGGGUUGCGGACAGUGUCUGGUGGGUAGUUUGACUGGGGCGGUCUCCUCCUAAAGAGUAACGGAGGAGCACGAAGGUUGGCUAAUCCUGGUCGGACAUCAGGAGGUUAGUGCAAUGGCAUAAGCCAGCUUGACUGCGAGCGUGACGGCGCGAGCAGGUGCGAAAGCAGGUCAUAGUGAUCCGGUGGUUCUGAAUGGAAGGGCCAUCGCU